UCGAACGAGAAAGGGUAGCAAUACCCGAGUAAAGUGGCGACCGGGUGAGUAACACGUGACUAACCUACCCUAGAGUGGGGAAUAACCUCGGGAAACCGGGGCUAAUACCGCAUAAAGUCCAGAGGCUGAAAUGCCAUUGGACCAAAGGAGUAAUUCGCUCAAGGAGGGGGUCGCGGUUGAUUAGCUAGUUGGUGGGGUAAUGGCCCACCAAGGCGAUGAUCAAUAGCCGGCCUGAGAGGGCGCACGGCCACACUGGAACUGAAACACGGUCCAGACUCCUACGGGAGGCAGCAGUGGGGAAUUUUGCGCAAUGGGGGAAACCCUGACGCAGCAACGCCGCGUGAAGGAUGAAGGUCUUUGGAUUGUAAACUUCUUUCGUCCGGGAAGAUAAUGACGGUACCGGAAUAAGAAGCCCCGGCUAACUUCGUGCCAGCAGCCGCGGUAAUACGAAGGGGGCGAGCGUUGUUCGGAAUUAUUGGGCGUAAAGGGAGCGUAGGCGGUUCGAUAAGUCACUUGUGAAAUCUCUGGGCUCAACCCAGAGUCUGCAAGCGAAACUGUCGGGCUUGAGUAUGGGAGAGGUGAGUGGAAUUCCUGGUGUAGCGGUGAAAUGCGUAGAUAUCAGGAGGAACACCUGUGGCGAAAGCGGCUCACUGGACCAUUACUGACGCUGAGGCUCGAAAGCUAGGGGAGCAAACAGGAUUAGAUACCCUGGUAGUCCUAGCCCUAAACGAUGAUUGCUGGGGUGUGGUGGGUACCCAAUCCCACUGUGCCGAAGCUAACGCG
rnacentral:rRNA from 1 species